UACGGAGGGGGCUAGCGUUGUUCGGAAUUACUGGGCGUAAAGGGCGCGCAGGCGGCUGCUCAAGUCAGGCGUGAAAGGCCUGGGCUCAACCCGGGAAUUGCGCUUGAGACUGGGAGGCUUGAGUAUGGGAGAGGGAUGUAGAAUUCCAGGUGUAGCGGUGAAAUGCGCAGAUAUCAGGAGGAACACCGGUGGCGAAGGCGGGUCUCUGGGCAGUAACUGACGCUGAGGAGCGAAAGCAUGGGGAGCGAACAGG
rnacentral:rRNA from 1 species